rnacentral:rRNA from 1 species
AGCGAACGCUGGCGGCAGGCCUAACACAUGCAAGUCGAGCGGCCGUAGCAAUACGGCAGCGGCAGACGGGAUAGUAACACGUGGGAACGCGCCCUUCGGUUCGGAAUAACUCAGGGAAACUUGAGCUAAUACCGGAUACGCCCUUACGGGGAAGGAUUUAUUGCCGAAGGAACGGCCCGCGUCGGAUUAGCUAGUUGGUGAGGUAAUGGCUCACCAAGGCGACGAUCCGUAGCUGGUCUGAGAGGAUGACCAGCAUCACUGGGACUGAGACACGGCCCAGACUCCUACGGGAGGCAGCAGUGGGGAGUAUUGGACAAUGGGCGCAAGCCUGAUCCAGCCAUGCCGCGUGGAUGAUGAAGGCCCUAGGGUUGUAAAGUCCUUUUAACGGGGAAGAUAAUGACGGUACCCGUAGAAUAAGCCCCGGCUAACUUCGUGCCAGCCGCCGCGGUAA